AGAGUUUGAUCCUGGCUCAGGACGAACGCUGGCGGCGUGCCUAAAACAUGCAAGUCGAGCGCCCUACCGGAGACGGAACCCGCAAGGGGGAAGAUUCCGGACGGGAGCGGCGCACGGGUGAGUAACACGUAAGCAACCUGCCCCCCAGCCGGGAAUAACCACGAGAAAUCGGGGCUAAUGCCGGAUGCGGUCGGAGACAGGCAUCUGUUUUCGAGGAAAGGCCCUUCGGGGUCACUGGGGGAGGGGCUUGCGGCCUAUCAGCUAGUCGGUGGGGUAACGGCCUACCGAGGCGACGACGGGUAGCCGGCCUGAGAGGGUGGUCGGUCACACUGGGACUGAGACACGGCCCAGACUCCUACGAGAGGCAGCAGUUGGGAAUCUUGCGCAAUGGCCGAAAGGCUGACGCAGCGACGCCGCGUGGGGGAUGAAGGCCUUCGGGUCGUAAACCCCUGUUGGUGGGGAAGAUGACGACGGUACCCACUGAGGAAGCCCCGGCUAACUCCGUGCAGCAGCCGCGGUAAGACGGAGGGGGCAAGCGUUGUCCGGAAUCACUGGGCGUAAAGAGCGCGUAGGUGGUCGCGUCAGUCGGCGGUGAAAGCUCCCGGCCCAACCGGGAGAGGACUGCCGAUACUGCGGGACUAGAGGACCGGAGAGGGGAGUGGAAUUCCCGGUGUAGCGGUGAUAUGCGUAGAUAUCGGGAGGAACACCCGUGGCGAAGGCGGCUCCCUGGACGGUUUCUGACACUGAGGCGCGAAAGCCAGGGGAGCGAACGGGAUUAGAUACCCCGGUAGUCCUGGCUGUAAACGAUGGUCACUAGGUGUCGGGGGUAUCAACUCCCCCGGUGCCGGAGCUAACGCAUUAAGUGACCCGCCUGGGGAGUACGGCCGCAAGGCUGAAACUCAAAGGAAUUGACGGGGGCCCGCACAAGCGGUGGAGCAUGUGGUUUAAUUCGACGCUACGCGAAGAACCUUACCAGGGCUUGACAUCCCUCGGAUCCCUGCGAAAGUGGGGAGUGCCCUUCGGGGAGCGAGGAGACAGGUGGUGCAUGGCUGUCGUCAGCUCGUGUCGUGAGAUGUUGGGUUAAGUUCCGCAACGAGCGCAACCCUUAUUGCAUGUUGCCCAUCCCGCUACGGUGGGGAGGCACUCAUGCGAAACUGCCCCGGCAACGGGGAGGAAGGUGGGGAUGACGUCAAGUCAGCAUGCCCCUUACGUCCUGGGCGACACACAUGCUACAAUGGGCGGUACAAU
rnacentral:rRNA from 1 species